GACGAACGCUGGCGGCGUGCUUAACACAUGCAAGUCGAACGAAGUGGCGCACGGGUGAGUAACGCGUAAUCACCCUGCCCUUCAGAGGGGGACAACAGUUGGAAACGACUGCUAAUACCGCAUAAUGAAGGAGGGGAUUGCGUCUGAUUAGCUAGUUGGAGGGGGAACGGCCCACCAAGGCGAUGAUCAGUAGCCGGUCUGGGUGGGUGAACGGCCACAUUUGGACUGGGACACGGGCCAGACUCCUACGGGAGGCAGCAGUUGGGAAUCUUCCGAAAUGGACGAAAGUCUGACGGAGCAACGCCGCGGGGGUGAUGACGGGCUUCGGGUUGUAAAGCUCUGUUAAUCGGGACGCGGUACCGGAAUAGAAAGCCACGGCUAACUACGUGCCAGCAGCCGCGGUAAUAC
rnacentral:rRNA from 1 species